AAAGUUUAUUAGAAAACUAGAAGCUUUCCAUUUAGUAGGCAGCACCAGUGGAUGUAAUGAAAAUGAUAAAUCAUUCUCAAAUUAUAUUUGUUACACAUUAGGGUAUUCAUUCAGGAGAAGGACCCUACAGAUGGAGGGAAUGCAGGAAAGCUAAGAAGAAUCACACCUCAUUGCAGAUCUGCAUUACCGUUGAAAACAGCAGCCUCAGAACCACAGUAGCCAUGAAAACCAUCAGCCUUCAACCACCACCCUUGUAUCAGAGGAGACAAAUAAGCUUGGAAAUCCUCAAAAAGCCUCAUCCUCAGAGCAAUGUCAUUAUAUAUCUUGUCUUAC
rnacentral:sRNA from 1 species